rnacentral:misc_RNA from 1 species
GAGAAGAACGUAGCGAAAUGCGAUAAGUAAUGUGAAUUGCAGAAUUCAGUGAAUCAUCGAAUCUUUGAACGCACAUUGCGCCCGCCAGUAUUCUGGCGGGCAUGCCUGUUCGAGCGUCAUUUCAACCAUCAAGCCCCAGGCUUGUGUUGGGGACCUGCGGCUGCCGCAGGCCCUGAAAACCAGUGGCGGGCUCGCUGUCACACCGGGCGUAGUAGAUUUUAUCUCGCUCAGGGCGUGCUGCGGGUCCCGGCCGUUAAAAGCCUUUUUUUACCCAAGGUUGACCUCGGAUCAGGUAGGAAGACCCGCUGAACUUAAGCAUAUCAAUAAGCGGAGGA